CCAGCGGCGCGGAGCCGUCCGGCGCCCAUCUUUGGCAAGUCGACUGCGCACAGAGCACCCGCUUCCCCCAGAUUCAGGAGGGCGGUCUGCCAUCAUCCAAUCAUAUUUACGGGUUGCACGAUAGUGCUGAAAGCUUAUUAAGGAGACUUCGCCACAUGACACUAGCAGGAAAUUAAAUCAUCAAUUCUAUGCAUUGAGCAAGAUGAGCAAGGAGAUUCCAACAUAUCCAUCAUAACUGAUUUUGGAGAGUGGGAUUUUCAGCUUUAUCGCAGUGCUCCUGUCACUUUAUGGGAGGAAUAUUUCAGGGCACAUUCAGUAACUCGGGACCAUGGUAUUACAGCGAUUCUUUGUCGAAGAUUGCUAUUCGGAUUCCACUAUCACUUGAGCACUUGAUGUAGUUCUUCUCUUUCUUCUGAGGCAACUCUUGGAGUUGAGGAUGACUAAAUUCUGGAAUGUUGAAGAGACCUAUGCGGGAUCUACAUAUUCUCUUUCAGGAAUCAAUGGGAGAGUACUGACCAUCGGGUAUGCAUGAAAAAGCUCUUUCUGUGUGCUGUGUCCAUAAAUUUUUGAAGUAAUAACAGGGAUCUGAACUGAAUUCUACAGUAGCACCAUUGAGAGCAUCCUGACAAGCUUUGGCAUGGGAGCAGCCGAGCACUGUGCCUGCAGAGCCCUUCGUAUUAUCAAGGAGCCCACACAUCCAUUCAGCAUCCUUUUUGACUUUCUACCAUCAGGCAGGAGACUCUGAUGCACAAAGACAAGGAUCGUCAAAAUGGGAAACAACUUCUUCCCUUAGGCCAUGAGGCUUCUGGAUUCCCUGCUGCACCACAUUCUAAGUGUCACUGGAUAAUUUGUACUGUGCCCUAUAACAUUUAAUUUAUGCACUUUAUGUUGUUUAAAUAUGCGUAAUUCAUUUGUUGAUUUAAUUCUUACUUCCAUAAGUUAUUGUAUGUUACAUAUGUGUUAUGUGCUUUAUACCCUGGUGGGGAGAAACUUUGUCUUGUUUAGCUGUACACAUGUUUAUAGUUCAAUGACAAUAGACUUGACUUACCUCUAAACUUUAAUAAGGAGAGACACUAAGAGUCAAAUUUUAAUUGUGAGGUUGGAUUUCGGUUAUAUUGUUGGCAACUGAUUUUAACUUAGUCAUUUUAAAAAUGUAUAAUUUCCCCGUUGUCAUUCAUGAUUCUGGAGUGAGCCGUAGGGACAAUUUACCACACUGAAAGAUAAACUAGGCUGAGAUUUCUCACCUGUACUUAUUCCUUUAGAUGCUGCCUGGCCUGCUGCGUUCCACCAGCAUUUUGUGUGUGUUGCUUGAGGUUUACAUGGUCAGUGAUGUGAGAAAAUAACUAUUGUGAGUGGUAUCCAAAUCUCUGAGGUGGCUGCUCACAUUCUAUAUAUAUUGUAGUCAUCACCAAAUGAGCAUAUUCUAUUCACAAGUAGAAAUACAGUUGCUACUUAUGUACGUUGCUGGUUUAUUAAUCCUUUCUCAUCCCUCCUGCAUGUUCCGUACUCAUUUGCAUUUCUUCCAUCUUCUCUGCUAAGUUUGCUGCGGGUAAGUGGAAAACAAGACAAUAAUUUAAAAUCCUCUGGAACUUUGUUACAGUUUCCAAGAACCACCCUGCAGAUAAGCAAGUUAAAACUCGAGCUCUCGGCAUUCCAGAGAACUGCAAUCUCAGUACUGAGCAGGCCCUUUAAAGUCCCAAAAAAUUCAUUAAAAAUAUAAGAUUAUAUAAACCAAUAAGGCAAGUGACUGGAUAGGAUGAAUUAAACUCGGCAUAACGUCUGGUAAUUUAUAUUGUGCUUAAGAAUGUAUCAAGUCAUAUGGCUAAGUGAAAUCUUGUGCUAUAUUUAAGUUAAUUCUUAAAAAUUUAAAUUUAAUAAAAUACAACUUUAAUGAAAUGUAAGCCUAGCUCUCCUUAUACAGUAAAUAUUUCUUUAAAAGUAUACUCUAUGCCAGUUGCACAUAUUUAAAAUACAAAACAAAUAUACAAGAGCUGAUUAUUUGCAAUGAAUGGUUUUGUGACAUUUUCAAUGUAGGAACAUAGUCAAGCUAUGGCCAACAGAUGGCAGCAUCAGGCACUCCCUGUCACGCUUCCCCUCUCAACCACCCCUCCACCUCCAUAACCACACAACCAGCAGAUUAACUGUUGUCACUGAACUUCAAUGCUCAGAAAUAGUGACCAUUUUGAUGAUAUUGGAAAUUCAGGAUUCUAUUGUGGAGCAGGGGAGAAAACAGAUGAAAAAAACCCUUAAAACUAGGAGUUGAAUGUAUUUGUUUCUAAGUGAAAUUAGGAAACUGUUUUAUGAAUCACCGCACUGUAGCAAAGACAAGUUUAAGCAACGCAAUUUGCGGAAAAUACUCACAAGGACGUCACCUUCAUUGGAUGGUUCAAAUUGCUGAGAGUUUGGAUAGACUGGGUCUGUCUGCAUUGGAAUGAAAGAGGCUGAAAGGUGACAGAGUUAUAUAAAAUUAUGAGAAGCAUCGAUAGAUAGUCACUGACUGUUUCUCACAGAAGAGGUAUCUAAAACUAGAGGCAUAGCUUUAAGGUGAGAAUGAGGAGUUUUAAAGGAGAGUUGAGGAGUAAAAUUUUCACACAAAGAGUAGAUGGCACCUGGAAUGAGCUGCCAGAGGAGGUGGUGGAGGCAGGAACAGUAACAACAUUUAAGAGGUAGCUGGACAAGUACUUGAAGGAGUAGGGCCUUGAGCAGGAGUUUCCAACCAGGGAUCCCGGGACACCUUGCUUAAUGCCAUUGGUCCAUGGCAUAAAAACGGAACCCCUGUGUGGUGAACUACAUAUACCUGUCUGGACACGUCCCCCCGCUGACUGCUCCUGUGGCUCCUCCCACAGACCCCAGUAUAAAGGCGAUUGGAGGCACUGCUCCUCCCUCAGUCUCCAGGAUGUUGUGUGGUGGUCUCUUGCUGCUGACGGUGCUUUCUUCCAGCCAAUAAAAGCCUACCUUAACUCACGUCUCCGAGAGUUAUUGAUGGUGCAUCACCCUGGCAGAAAGGGAAAUAGAACUAAUGCAGGCAAAUGGUAUAACAAUGGAUGGAUAAGCAUGAUGGUUGGCAUAGAUACGAUGGUCCAAAUUGCCUGAUUUUAUGCUGUAUAACUUAAAUGAGCAAUUAUAGAACACUACAGUACAGUUCCGACCCUUCAGCCCACUAUGUUGUGCCAACCUUAUAACCCACUAGGAGAGAUCACAAGUCCAUUAACCGGCUGACUAGAAAUCCUCCAGUCAGCCAAACAUGAAAUAUUUUUCAUAUCUUACCAAAUGUAAUAUAUUAAAUAUAUCUGUUGGUCAAGUUUGCACUUAUUGCCCAUCUCCAACUGUACUUGUGGUGGUGAGCUGCCUACUGAUAAAGGCAUUCCCACAGAGCUGAUUGGUGGGGAGUUCUAGGAUUUUGAUCCAAUGGUGACGAAGGAUCAGGGUGAGUUGGAGGGGAAUGAGCAGGUGGUGGGGUUUCUAUGUGCCUGUUGUACUCUUCUUGGUAUUAGAAGUUCCUCUUAGUGCAAAACCUUUUUACUACUUUUGGACUCCUAAUUUAAUUCUAGCUUACACCAUUUCCCUCUUGAUUUUCUGUUCUUUCUCAAUUUCUCAAUAAUUAAAGCAAUGAACUGCUAGCCCUCUCAGAUGACUUAGAUGUCAAAUUGGGAAGAGAAGCCAAAAAAAAAAUCAGGGGGACAUCUGUCAAAAACUGGAAUACACACUUAGAGACUGUUUCCCCCAUUUCUCCUAGGGACAUGGCUGAUAUAGCCCAGCCACAAUACUUAUAUCUGGUUGCUGGAUGUAUCAGGAUGUUUCCUGGAUUGUAGAACGCGCCUCAUGAGAAAAGGCUGAGCAAGCAAGUGCUUUUCUCUUUGGAGAGGAGGAAGUUGAGAGGCAACUUCAUAGAGAUGUAUGAGAUGAUAAGAAGCUUGGCCAGCCAGCGCCUUUCUCCCAGGGCGUCAAUGGCUAAUACAAGAGGACAUACUUUUAGGGUGAUUGGAGGUAAGUAUAGGGGAUGCCAGAGGUAGGAUUUUUACUCAGAGAAUGAUAGGCGCAUGGAAUGCACUGCCAGGGUGAUGGUAGAGGUGGAUAUAUUAGGAGAUUUAAAAGGCAUCUAGGUAGGCACAUGGAGACAAAAAAAUUGAAGGGCUAUGUGGGAGGGAAGUGUUAGAUUUACCUUGGAGUAGUUUAAAAUGUCAGCCUGCAUCAUGGGCUGAAGAGCCUGUAUUGUGUUGUAAUGUUCUAUGAUUCUAGAAUCUAGAUAUCUGUAAAUUGCUACUACUCUAUGACAAGAAGACAGGAUCGAUCAUAAUUUUAUUAAGUGGCAGAGCUGGCUCAAGAACCACAAGGGCCCACGUCCAGUUUUAUUUCCAAUGUGCUGACACUUAGUGGCCACUUUAUCAGGUGCCUCAACUGAGUGUACGUUCAUGACCUGCUGUUAUAGCCUACCCACCUCACGUUUUGAUGUGUUGUGCAUUCAGAGAUAUCUCUCUGCACAACGCCACUGUUGUAAGACAUAGUUUUCUGAAUUACUGUCACCUUGCUGUCAGCUUGAACCAGUCAGGCCACUCUCUUCUGACCUCUCUCAUUAACGAGGCAUUUUCCCCCACAGAACUGUCACUCACUGGAUGUUUUUGUUUCUUGCACCAUUCUUUGUAAACUGUAGAAACUGUUGAGUGUGAAAAAUCCAGAUGAUUCAUAGCUUCUGAGAUAUUCAAACCACUCCAUGGGCACCAACAAUCAUUCCACAGUCAAAGUCACUUAAAUCACAUUUCUUCCCAUUUUGAUGUUUCGUCUGAACAACAACUGAACCUCCUGACCAUGCCUGCAUGUGUUAAUGUAUUGAAUUGCUGCCACAUGACUGGCUGAUUAGAUGUUUGCAUUCAUGAGCAGGUAUACAGGUGUACCAAAUAAAGUGGCCACUGACUGUAUAGUUAUUAAUGAGCAAUGGCAAUUUGUAAUAUAAAGAAUGUCAGAUGACAGAUGAGGAAAGAAACAUAACAGAAUAACAUGAUCUUGGAUGUCCUGUUGCUGCAAGUUCAAGGGAAGGGGUUCCCAACCUUUCUUAUGCCAUGGACCAAUAUCAUUAAGCAAGACGCCUAUGGACCUUAGGAGGAGAGUUGUUUCAGUGUGGGCUAUCCCGUGCAGAAGAUAACUUCUACUCUACAACAAGAGGUGGAGGUUAAUGAACAUCAGGACCCUAAUGAACAUGGACAAGAGUGGGUAGAGUAAAAUUAAUAUUGAAUUAUGCUUAUUAAUAUCAUAAUAGAGCUGGCCUUGGCUGAUUCAAUUUUGUGACUAAAAGCAUCAGCUUGCCUGUUUAUUAGAAUGUUAGAUUUUUAAAUGAUUUUGAACUCUUUCACUGUAUUCAUGUGAUUUUUUUUUACAGGUCUUGUGAUGCAUAGUUCAGUUUCCCUCCAAGCACUUUGCUUUCUCCUGUCUGGUAUUCCACACAAAAUGUUACAACUAUUUAAGUUGGCAUAAUUAAACAUUUUAAAUAAACCACAAUACCAAUUAAACAAUCAAAAUGAUUUUAAUUAGUCUUCAGAUUGCAUAUAAGAAUCAUUUCUUUCUAUAAAGUCAACUUUUCUCUUUUUACAUUCUUUCAGAGACUGUGCUGUCCAAUUCUAAUUGCCAUUGAAAUGAGUCACCUUUUGGAUCAUUUCAGAGACGCAUAAGAUUCAACAUACUGCAUAGUGUCAGGAGUGGCAUAUAGGCCAGAGUGCAUAAGAUGAAACUGGUGAACUAGAUUGGUUUUGACAACAAAUAGUUGUUUCAUUGUCAUGAUUAAUAAUUCUGUUUUGUAAAAUUGCAGAUUAAUUUAAUUAACUAAAUUUAAACUCUCCAGCUGCUGUCAGAUUUGAAGUUAUGUCACUGAAUCAUUGGUCCAUAUCACUGGAUUAUCUCCAUAUCUCAUUUCUACACUUUCUUCAUGUUAUCUCCCAUAAUUUAUCUGCUUGUUACUAGACUCCUAGAUGGAAAUCCAUAUCCUACAUACUUGAUUGUCAUCCAGGCCAAUAUUUAAAAAAUAAAUGCAAACAGUUGGGAGAUUGCAAAAACAUUUUAAUUACCCUGUAGAGUACCAUUUUAACACGGCAAACUUCUUAAAAACAUGAGGAAAUCCAAGCAACACACACAAAAUGCUGGAGGAACUCAGCAGACCAGGCAGCAUCUAUGGAAAAAAGUGAACAGUCGAUGUUUCAGGCUGAGACCCUACAUCAGGACUAGUUGUUGAUGGUUUAAAAUUGUUAAAAGAGAACUCUUUGUUUAAAUUAAAAUUAAUUAACGCAGCAUUUUUUAGAAAGUGACUUUUAGUUUAAAUUAAUUUCCACUUGAUAUCUUCAAUGAUGAAUUCAUUGCAAAGCCCUAGAAAACAGACAGAGAUAAUUUUGUUACAGAAUAUUGAAAUGAAUAUUGAUGAUCUUGUAGUUUUACUGGGUAAGGUUUAGAAGAAGUAUGUAACUGGAUUUACUUCUAAUGCAAUCAUAUUUUAUAACCAGGAAAAUUGUAUCAGUAAAAACCAAAAUUUUAUUCUAUAUUAUCUGUCUGUAUUAAAUUGAAUUCAUUCUUAGUCCUUAGCAUAUUUAG